GUCGGCGUGGUGUAAUGGUUUGAGCAUUGGACUAGGAUUCUGGAAACCAGGGUUUGAAUCCCAGCUUGGCCA